rnacentral:lncRNA from 1 species
GAAGAUGAAUGUUUUUAAUUUCUUGAUUUAUCAAUUUUUUGUGUAAAAUUUGUUCAAGAAAAAAUGCAUGUUACAUUUUUCCGUGUCACAUAAACAAUGUACGUUUACAUAAAAUAAAGUGCAUUGUUACACAUUUUUAGAUUAUUGUAAUAUAUAAAGUGUGUUGUUACAUGCAACUUUUUUCUGGAUAUGUUUUUUUUUUUCUGUUCAAGAAGAUGAAUAAAAAAUGCAUGUUACAUUUUUCCGUGUCACAUAAACAAUGUACGUUUACAUAAAAUAAAGUGCAUUGUUACACUUUUUUAGAUUAUUGUAAAAAUAAAGUGUGUUGUUACAUGCAACUUUUUUCUGGAUAUGUUUUUUUUUUUCUGUUCAAGAAGAUGAAUGUUUUUAAUUUCUUGAUUUAUCAAUUUUUUGUGUAAAAUUUGUUCAAGAAAAAAUGCAUGUUACAUUUUUCCGUGUCACAUAAACAAUGUACGUUUACAUAAAAUAAAGUGCAUUGUUACACUUUUUUAGAUUAUUGUAAAAAUAAAGUGUGUUGUUACAUGCAACUUUUUUCUGUAUAUGUUUUUUUUUUCUGUUCAAGAAGAUGAAUGUUUUUAAUUUCUUGAUUUAUCAAUUAUUUGUGUAAAAUUUGUUCAAGAAAAAAUGCAUGUUACAUUUUUCCGUGUCACAUAAAUAAUGUACGUUUACAUAAAAUAAAGUGCAUUGUUACACUUUUUUAGAUUAUUGUAAAAAUAAAGUGUGUUGUUACAUUUUU